rnacentral:lncRNA from 1 species
AAGAAGCUUAGCUUUUAUCCCUGAGUGUCCACUGGAAUAUUAUAAUCUAGUUGCUGCGAGUUACCAAGUUGGAUUUGUAUGUGCAAAGGAGCAUUUUGUCAUCACCUUGGAGAAUGAACUAGAGAGAAAAACAGGCAAGAGUGGUGGCAGAGAGAAGAGUUAGUGUUCCAACCCCCCAAAAAGAUGAUGAGGCCAUGUUCAGAGGGAUGGAUCAGAAAGAAGUAUGUAGAUAAUUAGGAGGUUAAACGGACAAGAUUUGGAAAGUGGCAGCCAUGAAAAUGUAUUCCUCAGAUCUCCUGCAGUGUGUACAGUAUAAUGGACCAAUGGCCCCAGUGUCCAUCCCACCAGGUCCACCACUUUAUUCAUGACAAGGUCGUGCUUCCCAGGGGCUGCUCCCAACCAGUGUAUGAGCAUAGCUGGGCCACCAGUGCAGGCCAUUCCUAGAGGAGGCAAGACUCCUAGUUCACAGUAACAUAGUACUAAUUAAAUGUAGGGAAAUUGGAAGAGGCAGAUUCUAAAGGAUUCUCAUGUCAAUGCUAGAAAAAAAUAAUCAAUUCUGGGGACAAUUAUAAGGACUAUGAUGAGAGUCUGGGAAAUAUCAGGUCGGUUUUGUGUAUGUUAUUUUGCAGGAUUCUAGGACACUGAGGGACAGAUUUCCCACACUCCCACCUGCGUGCUCAGUUGCGUGGACUGCAUCCUGCCAGGCUCCUCUGUCCAUGGGAUUCUCCAGGCAAAACUACUGGAGUAGGUUGCCAUUUCCUCCUCCAGGGGAUCUUCCCGACCCAGAGAUGGAACCCACGUCUCUUGCAUCUCCUGCAUUAGCAGGUGGAUUUUUUUUUUUUUUUUUUACCACUGGUGCCACCUGGGAAGCCCUGCAGAGAACUGCAUAUUGUGAACCAAGAAUUCAGAAGAGAGAUAUCAAUAACCAAUUGAAUGGUCUUUGGGUGGC